CAGAACGAACGCUGGCGGCAGGCCUAACACAUGCAAGUCGAACGCUGCAGCAAUGCAGAGUGGCAGACGGGUGAGUAACGCGUGGGAACCUUCCCAGUGGUACGGAAUAGCCCAGGGAAACUUGGGGUAAUACCGUAUAAGCCCCCUAGGGGGAAAGAUUUAUCGCCAUUGGAUGGGCCCGCGUCGGAUUAGCUAGUUGGUGAGGUAACGGCUCACCAAGGCGACGAUCCGUAGCUGGUCUGAGAGGAUGAUCAGCCACACUGGGACUGAGACACGGCCCAGACUCCUACGGGAGGCAGCAGUGGGGAAUAUUGGACAAUGGGCGCAAGCCUGAUCCAAGCCAUGCCGCGUGAGUGACGAAGGCCUUAGGGUUGUAAAGCUCUUUUGGCGGGGACGAUAAUGACGGUACCCGCAGAAUAAGCUCCGGCUAACUUCGUGCCAGCAGCAGC
rnacentral:rRNA from 1 species